GACGAACGCUGGCGGCGUGCUUAACCCAUGCAAGUCGAACGAGUGGCGAACGGGUGAGUAAUGUCUGGGAAACUGCCCGAUGGAGGGGGAUAACUACUGGAAACGGUAGCUAAUACCGCAUACCAUCGGAUGUGCCCAGAUGGGAUUAGCUAGUAGGUGGGGUAACGCCUCACCUAGGCGACGAUCCCUAGCUGGUCUGAUAGGAGGACCAGCCACGCUGGAACUGAGACCCGGUCCGGACUCCUCCGGGAGGCAGCAGUGGGGAAUAGUGCACAAUGGGCGCAAGCCUGAUGCAGCCAUGCCGCGUGUAUGAAGAAGGCCUUCGGGUUGUAAAGUACUUUCAGCGAGGAGGCGUUACUCGCAGAAGAAGCACCGGCUAACUCCGUGCCAGCAGCCGCGGUAAUUC
rnacentral:rRNA from 1 species